rnacentral:rRNA from 1 species
UAAACCGGAGGAAGCGGGGAUGACGUCAAGUCCUCAUGGCCCUUAUGUCCAGGGCUACACACGUGCUACAAUGGCCGGUACAAAGGGGCGCAAGACCGCGAGGUGGAGCAAAUCCCAAAAAACCGGUCUCAGUUCGGAUUGGAGUCUGCAACUCGACUCCAUGAAGUUGGAAUCGCUAGUAAUCGCGUAUCAGCAUGACGCGGUGAAUACGUUCCCGGGCCUU